GGAGAUGGGACACUGGAUGGGGAGAAGUCUGAGUUACCACAGUGAAUUCUUUUCCUGGCGUCUGGCUGGUGGGUCUUGCUCACAUGCUCUGGGUCUAACUGAUUGCCAUAUUUGGGGUCAUAAAGGAAAUUGGCAGAGGCCCUGGGGGUUUUUCACCUUCCUCUGCAGCGUGGGGCA